GUCCCCACUCAAACAAUGCCCUGCGGGCACAGCGUUCCGCUGCUCUGCGCAACGCACUCACCGGUAUGGAGGUAUUUCUAAAAUUCAUAUCAUAGAAAGAAAAAAACACCGGUAUUCGGUAUGAACCGGUAUACCGCCCAGCACUACCCUACUUACCUGGAUCAAAAGUA